CCCCCGUUCACUUUGUUUGUUUGCCUUGUUUUCUCGAGCCAGUCGUUGUCUGGGAAAGAUAUAAAAUCUGUUCCAUUCACUUAGAGUUGAAUAUUUUUAUGUUAUUUUUUUGGGGUUAAAAGGACUCAAGAGCAUUGAUCUUAAGUUUUCUUGUGUUACGUCUUCCUUCAUGUAAGUUUAUCAACAAUCUCUUGCAGGUUCGACGAGCUCCCGAUCGGAAGUUUAGAUGAGCCUCGAUUCUUUUUUUUUUUUUCUUUUUUUUCUUUGCAGGUUUCUUUGCAUCGUAGGAAGUUGCUGUUGGUGCUGCAGUAAAAACACAGCAUUAAAAAUGUCAUUUUGUAUAUUCGUCUUCUCGACUGAAGAAACCAAGGAACUGUGGAUGGAUUUCUAGCCAAUCAAGUCCCGGGACUAGGAAACAUCUUUAGAGAGGCUGCUGCUGAAUCGUACAAGAAUACCGUCGGUCAGCCCACUUUCUGACUGAAGAGGUGGAGAAAGGACAACAACUGGUGGCGUUGGGAUUAGUGUGAUCACACUCACCUGGCAGGGUCCAUCACCGUUGGGAUUUUGUGGCGGUCCUUGUUUCUUCAUUCCUUCCUCCUGCUACCUGAUUUUUGGCCGUGCCACAGGGAAAGAUGGAUCUCAGCAGCUGGGUUUGCAGUAGAGCAGACUGGUGGGUGUUACCACAGAUGGAUGGAUGGAUGGAGUGGAGUACCGAAAAGUGUUCAGGGCUUUCCGGUUUUGCUGCUGGUGCGACCAAGGGCGGCGUACGGCGAUGCGGUCUGCCGACAUGCUUCCAUCGUGCAGGGGUCGAAGGUCUGCGUGGAGCAGCAGCAGCAGCCAUGUCCGGGGCCCCCCCCCCC